rnacentral:hammerhead_ribozyme from 1 species
AUUCAGCUGACAAGUCCCAAAUAGGACGAAAUGCAAAUCCUGGAU